rnacentral:tRNA from 2 species
GCGGGUGUAGCUCAGCUGUUAGAGCGCUUCCUUGCCAAGGAAGAGGUCCAGGGUUAGAGUCCCUGUACCCGCACCA